UGAAUACGAGAUGCUACGGCGUCGAAGCAGUCUAUGUCAUACUUCCAAGAAAAGCUCGCACUGUCAUAAACAAAUAAUGCCUGUACCAUAACCGACACAGGUGGGUAGGUAGAGUAUACUAAGGGGCGCGAGAUAACUCUCUCUAAGGAACUCGGCAAAAUGACUCCGUAACUUCGGGAGAAGGAGUGCCUUAUUUAUAAGGUUGCAAUAACAAGAUCCAAGCAACUGUUUAUCAAAGACACAGGUCUCCGCUAAGUCGUAAGACGAUGUAUGGGGGCUGACGCCUGCCCAGUGCCAGAAGGUUAAAGAAGUUGGUUAGCAUUCGCGAAGCUGAUAACUGAAGCCCUGGUGAACGGCGGCCGUAACAAUAACGGUCCUAAGGUAGCGAAAUUCCUUGUCGGGUAAGUUCCGACCCGCACGAAAGGCGUAAUGAUUUGGAUACUGUCUCGGAGAGGGGCUCGGUGAAAUAGACUUGUCUGUGAAGAUGCGGACUACCUGCACCAGGACAGAAAGACCCUAUGAAGCUUUACUGUAACUUGAGAUUGAAAUUGGACUUUACUUGCGCAGUAUAGGUGGGAGGCGUUGAUAAUAUUCUUGCGGGAUUAUUUGAGCCAUCAGUGAGAUACCACUCUUGUAAUGUUAGAUUUCUAACUUUGUAUCAUUAUCUGGUCAAAGGACAGUUUCAGGCGGGCAGUUUGACUGGGGCGGUCGCCUCCUAAACGGUAACGGAGGCGCACAAAGGUUUCCUCUGAACGGGUAGAAAUCGUAUCUAGAGUGUAAAGGCAUAAGGAAGCUUGACUGUGAGACCUACAAGUCGAGCAGGGACGAAAGUCGGUCUUAGUGAUCUGACGGUGCUGAGUGGAAAGGCCGUCACUCAACGGAUAAAAGUUACUCUAAGGAUAACAGGCUGAUCUCCCCCAAGAGUUCACAUCGACGGGGAGGUUUGGCACCUCGAUGUCGGCUCAUCGCAUCCUGGGGCGGUAGUACGUCCCAAGGGUUGGGCUGUUCGCCCAUGAAAGCGGUACGCGAGCUGGGUUCAGAACGUCGUGAGACAGUUCGGUCCAUAUCCGGUGUAGGCGUUAGAAUAUUGAGAGGAGCCUUCUUUAGUACGAGAGGACCGAGAAGGACAUACCUCUGGUGUACCAGUUAUCGUGCCAACGGUAAACGCUGGGUAGCUAUGUAUGGAGUGGAUAACCGCUGAAAGCAUCUAAGUGGGAAGCCCACCUCAAGAUAAG
rnacentral:rRNA from 1 species